rnacentral:rRNA from 1 species
AUUGAACGCUGGCGGCAGGCCUCACACAUGCAAGUCGAACGAGUGGCGGACGGGUGAGUAAUGUCUGGGAAACUGCCUGAUGGAGGGGGAUAACGACUGGAAACGGUAGAUAAUACCGCAUACCAUCGGAUGUGCCACGAUGGGAUUAGAUAGUAGGUGGGGUAAAGGCUCACCUAGGCGGCGAUCCCUAGCUGGUCUGAGAGGAGGACCAGCCACGCUGUAACUGAGACACGGUCCAGACUCGGAAGGGAGGCAGCAGUGGGGAAUAUUGCACAAUGGGCGCAAGCCUGAUGGUGCGAUGCCGCGUGUAUGAAAAGGGCCUUCGGGUUGUAAAGUACUUUCAGCGGGGGGGCGUUACCCGCAGAAUAAGCACCGGCUAACUCCGUGACAGCAGCCGCGGUAAUAC